GACAGAGGGUGCAAGCGUUGUCCGGAUUUAUUGGGUUUAAAGGGUGCGUAGGCGGCCUAAUAAGUCAGUGGUGAAAGCCUCCAGCUUAACUGGAGAACUGCCAUUGAUACUGUUAGGCUUGAGUAUACUUGAGGUAGGCGGAAUUGACAGUGUAGCGGUGAAAUGCAUAGAUAUUGUCAAGAACACCAAUUGCGAAGGCAGCUUACUAAAUUAUAACUGACGCUGAGGCACGAAAGUGUGGGUAUCAAACAGG
rnacentral:rRNA from 1 species